GUCGUGUGUUCGAUCCACACAAACCGCAAUCAACCUUUCCUUUUGCCGAUUUCAUGAUUUUUGUGGUGGAGUUUUUCAUGUUGUUGCCG